rnacentral:lncRNA from 13 species
AUAAUGUAUACAGUCAUUGUGAAAUACAUAAAAUCUUGACAAGUUAACGAAGCAGCAUCCUUGAAAAAUUUAUCCAGUUUCCAAAAUGUACUCAUGGAGAAUAACCAUCCUACUGUUAAAAAUGGAAAAACAGCGCAUCAGGAAUUGCACAGCAUCAGAUAUAAUCCUCUGGACGUUUUAGUUCAUUUCACACUUGCCGUGGUCCUCCUGGCUGAGACCCUCUCUGGAUGAACAAUUUCCGGAAUGAAACUAGCAACUAAGGGAUGUGUAGGACAGACAGUGUUGACAC